rnacentral:rRNA from 1 species
AGUCAAUAGAUACCCGGGUAGUCCACGCCGUAAACGAUGAGUACUAGGUGUAGGAGGUAUCGACUCCUUCUGUGCCGCAGUUAAACACAAUAAGUACUCCGCCUGGGAAGUACGGUCGCAAGAUUAAAACUCAAAGGAAUUGACGGGGGCCCGGCACAAGCAGCGGAGCAUGUGGUUUAAUUCGAAGCAACGCGAAGAACCUUACCUAGACUUGACAUCUCCUGAAUAGCGCAGAGAUGCGUGAAGCCCUUCGGGGUCGAGGAAGACAGGUGGUGCAUGGUUGUCGUCAGCUCGUGUCGUGAGAUGUUGGGUUAAGUCCCGCAACGAGCGCAACCCCUAUUAUUAGUUGCUACCAUUAAGUUGAGCACUCUAAUGAGACUGCCCGGGUUAACCGGGUAGGAAGGCGGGGAGUGACGUCAAAUCAUCAUGCCCCGUUACUGUCGUAGGGCUACACACGUGCUACAAUGGUGAGAACAACGAGAUGCAACUACCGCGAGGUGGAGCAAAACUUAGAAACUCAUCUCAGUUCGGAUUGUAGG